rnacentral:rRNA from 1 species
CCCAGUAACGGCGAGUGAAGCGGCAACAGCUCAAAUUUGAAAUCUGGCCCUCGGGUCCGAGUUGUAAUUUGUAGAGGAUGCUUUUGGCGAGGUGCCUUCCGAGUUCCCUGGAACGGGACGCCAUAGAGGGUGAGAGCCCCGUCUGGUCGGACACCGAGCCUCUGUAAAGCUCCUUCGACGAGUCGAGUAGUUUGGGAAUGCUGCUCAAAAUGGGAGGUAUAUGUCUUCUAAAGCUAAAUAUUGGCCAGAGACCGAUAGCGCACAAGUAGAGUGAUCGAAAGAUGAAAAGCACUUUGAAAAGAGGGUUAAAAAGUACGUGAAAUUGUUGAAAGGGAAGCGCCUAUGACCAGACUUGAGCCCGGUGAAUCAUCCAGCGUUCUCGCUGGUGCACUUUGCCGGGCCCAGGCCAGCAUCAGUUUGGCGCGGGGGAUAAAGGUGACGGGAAUGUGGCUCCCUCGGGAGUGUUAUAGCCCGCUACGUAAUACCCUGCGCCGGACUGAGGUACGCGCAUUGCAAGGAUGCUGGCGUAAUGGUCAUCAGCGACCCGUCUUGAAACACGGACCAAGGAGUCGUCUUCGUAUGCGAGUGUUCGGGUGUCAAACCCCUACGCGUAAUGAAAGUGAACGCAGGUGAGAGCUUCGGCGCAUCAUCGACCGAUCCUGAUGUUCUCGGAUGGAUUUGAGUAAGAGCAUACGGGGCCGGACCCGAAAGAAGGUGAACUAUGCCUGUAUAGGGUGAAGCCAGAGGAAACUCUGGUGGAGGCUCGCAGCGGUUCUGACGUGCGAAUCGAUCGUCAAAUAUGGGCAUGGGGGCGAAAGACUAAUCGAC